rfam:Picea glauca, whole genome shotgun sequence.
UCUUCUAUACAUUCCUACAAUGUUAAUGCACCAUAUCCCAUUAAAACUAUGUAGUUAAGUGUGCUUGGGCUAGAUUAGUUAUUCAAUGGGUGACAUCUGAGGAAAUCCUAGUGUUUUUCAUUGC